rnacentral:rRNA from 1 species
GACGUAGGGCGCGAGCGUUGUCCGGAAUUACUGGGCGUAAAGGGCUCGUAGGUGGCCAACUAAGUCAGACGUGAAAUCCCUCGGCUUAACCGGGGAACUGCGUCUGAUACUGGAUGGCUAGAGAUUGGGAGAGGGAUGCGGAAUUCCAGGUGUAGCGGUGAAAUGCGUAGAUAUCUGGAGGAACACCGGUGGCGAAGGCGGCAUCCUGGACCAACACUGACGCUGAGGAGCGAAAGCCAGGGGAGCAAACGGG